UGUGUAUAUACGAUCGAUCAGGGGCAGAGGGUGAGGUGAAACCCUAGUUUCACCAAAAUCCAUCAAAUUGAAGGGGGAUUGAAGGGCUAAACUAAUGCAUGAACCAAGAUUGUCGAUCACUUUAGUGUUUCUACCAUCAUGAUCAUGUUUAAAGGGGAAAGCAUGGAAGGCAAACGGAAAAGGGAUGAGGAAGCAUGUAUGAAACGGACACUCGAGAUAUGUAGGUGCGUAUGAUCAGGCGUAUGAAUAUAUGAAUGCACGAAGUAGGAUUUAUCGUCUAUGAAAAGAAUGGGACAGGAAUGAGAACGUCAGACUCUUGUAGAAUUGAAGCCGAACCUUGAAGCCGAACUCGGAACAAAGGAAUCCGAGAGGAUAGUCGAAUGAAUCAAAGUUUAUGUACUACACGGAUUUCUUCUACCACUAUCGAAGAUAAGCGGGCAUAGAUCGAGUCGAAUAACAAGGGUUGUACGGAAAGAACGGUUACGUGGUCUUAAUUUUGUAACACAUUAAUU
rnacentral:lncRNA from 1 species